UAUGUUUUAGUGUAUGAUGCACGAAAAUUUUUGAUAUUUUUGGAAAUAGUUUGAUUCUAUUAGACAUAA
rnacentral:tRNA from 1 species